GAUGAAGAACGUAGCGAAAUGCGAUAAUUAAUGUGAAUUGCAGAAUUCCGUGAAUCAUCGAGUCUUUGAACGCACAUUGCGCCUCAUGGCAUUCCAUGAGGCAUGCCCAUCUCAGCGUUAGAAAAUAUUCUCAAAUUUUAGUUUUGUGCUAAAAUUUGGAUCAUGUCAAGGAAGCUAUUACUAUUAUUGUGAUCGCUCUUUGGAAAUUGAUAGGUCUUUGAGUUGCUACUCAUAGAACGUGAUGAAUCUUUCUUCGUUCUAUUGUAAUUCACUCUGGUAGUCCUAAAACUUGUAUGCCUGUGGCAUAUCUUGUAAUUUGACCUGAGAUUGGGUAGGGAUACCCGCUGAACUUAAGCAUAUCAAUAAGCGGAGGA
rnacentral:misc_RNA from 1 species